UACGUAGGUGGCAAGCGUUAUCCGGAUUUAUUGGGUGUAAAGGGCGUGUAGGCGGGAGCGCAAGUCAGAUGUGAAAACUCAGGGCUCAACCCUGAGCCUGCAUUUGAAACUGUGUUUCUUGAGUGCUGGAGAAGCAAUCGGAAUUCCGUGUGUAGCGGUGAAAUGCGUAGAUAUACGGAGGAACACCAGUGGCGAAGGCGGAUUGCUGGACAGUAACUGACGCUGAGGCGCGAAAGCGUGGGGAGCAAACAGG
rnacentral:rRNA from 1 species